UGUGUCCUACGGGAGGCAGCAGUGGGGAAUAUUGGACAAUGGGGGAAACCCUGAUCCAGCGACGCCGCGUGAGUGAAGAAGUAUUUCGGUAUGGAAAGCUCUAUCAGCAGGGAAGAAAAUGACGGUACCUGACUAAGAAGCCCCGGCUAACUACGUGCCAGCAGCCGCGGUAAUACGUAGGGGGCAAGCGUUAUCCGGAUUUACUGGGUGUAAAGGGAGCGUAGACGGCAU
rnacentral:rRNA from 1 species